AUCUUUAGCUCAGUUGGUUAGAGCGUUCGCUUCACACGCGAGAGGUCGCUGGUUCGAGUCCAGUAAGAUCC
rnacentral:tRNA from 1 species